AGAGUUUGAUCAUGGCUCAGAAUGAACGUUGGCGGCGUGGAUUAGGCAUGCAAGUCGAGCGAAAAGCUUCCUUCGGGAAGUGGACAGCGGCGUAAGGGAGAGUAAUGUGUGGAUUAUCUACCCUCGGGUCCGGGAUAGCUGCGGGAAACUGCAGGUAAUACCGGAUAACAUCUUCGGAUCAAAGGUGUGAUUCCGCCUGAGGACGAGUCCACAUCCUAUUAGCUUGUUGGUGGGGUAACGGCCUACCAAGGCUACGAUGGGUACCGGGUGUGAGAGCAUGGCCCGGCUCACUGGGACUGAGACACUGCCCAGACACCUACGGGUGGCUGCAGUCGAGAAUCUUCGGCAAUGGACGAAAGUCUGACCGAGCGACGCCGCGUGCGGGAUGAAGGCCUUCGGGUUGUAAACCGCUGUCAGUUAGGAGGAAAUUCUAGGGGGUUAUCCCCUUAGUUUGACCUAUUUUCAGAGGAAGUACGGGCUAAGUUCGUGCCAGCAGCCGCGGUAAGACGAACCGUACAAACGUUAUUCGGAAUCACUGGGCUUAAAGGGUGCGUAGGCGGCCUGGUAAGUUGGGUGUGAAAUCCCUCGGCUCAACCGAGGAAUUGCGCUCAAAACUGCCAGGCUUGAGGGAGACAGAGGCAAGCGGAACUCAGGGUGGAGCGGUGAAAUGCGUUGAUAUCCUGGGGAACACCA
rnacentral:rRNA from 1 species